CGCCCAUCCCCCUGCAGUAGCCCCGCCCCCGGAAUGCGGGCUCCGCCCCCGCAAUCCGGGCCCCCGGGCUGCCCCGCCCCAUGGGCCGCUCGCGAAGCGCGGAGGCGGGGUCCUGCGCGAUGACGUGAGCGGGCGUGCGCGGUGACGGCCCGCGUCCCUGUUACUCAGCGGAGCGGCGGAGGCCGGACGACGCGGCCCGGAUCGCGGAGCCGCGAGCAGCGCUGGGUAACGGCUGCGGAGACCGCCGAGACGGCGCCGGUUCCCGCCGCCGGGCUUUCCUGUCGCCAUUCGCUGCGCUGCCGGCCACGUAAGCAGUCACAUCUAAAUUCUCUACCUAUACUUUUGUGGUUUUUAAUCCACAAAGAGGCCUUUUUGAGUAGGGGAGUGAGUUACCAGACUCUGUAUCAUUGCCUCCUAACACUCUUCCUGUUUCAGCUUCACCAUGGAGAGAACAGUAUGCCAAACGCGUCCUCUCUAAGUCUCACUGGUAUCCUUAACACCCUUACCUUGGAGACUGCUCCUUCUGUCUUGGUCUUCUGAAGGUGUUUUCUGGCGGCAGUGCUACUUUCGUAUCUUCAUCUGUAUGGCCACACACAUGCUUUGGAUCCCAUUUCUCGCUAUGUUUUCAGAGAGAUUGUUCUAACUGAAACGUUAGUUUUCUUUUUCACUCUCCUCGUCUCACCCUUCCCAUCUUUUGCAGUCCUUUCUGUUAACAGAUGAAUAUGUUCAGGUUGUCUUUGUAUUAUAUAUGUUAUGCAUGCUGUGUUGUAGAAUGUUAUAUAUUGUAUCUAAUCGGAUCAUCCUUUCUUGACCAUAUAUCAUUCUCCAUCAAUUUCCUCUCAUCUUCUUUGCUAAAGUUCUCUAAAGAGAUAGUCACCCCCACUUACUUGUAAAAUGGUGUUCUUUAAUCCUCACCUGCGCUCAUUCCAGUCUAGCUUCCGCUCCCGUCGCUCUGCUUACUGGACGUCUCUGCAGCGUUCGGCACUUUGGGCCACUCUGUUCUCUAACACACUCUUCCUCUGGCUUCUUCAGUGUGUUCUCCUCAUUGUCUCUGUCUCUGGCUACACCUUCACUGGCUUCUUUACUGGCCUCUCUCUCUAAUUGCUCAUUAAACUGUGGGUAUCCACAAAGCUGACUCAAGCCUUUCUUGCUACAACAUCCUCUUGAGUAAUACCAUUCUUUCUCAUUGCUUUAAUAACAAUGCCAACUCUUAAAUUUGUAUCUUCCACCCAGACAUCUCCUUGAGGUUUAGUUCUGUAUCUAGCUAACAAGUUGAUAUUUCCGUUUGGAUAUCUCAGGGAUCCAUCUCAGUCUCAACAUGCUUAAGAUUCAGCAUGUUUAUAACUUCUCCUCUUCCUUUGUAUCUUCUUCAGCACCAAGACUUUUUUAUCUUGGACUCAGUAUAUAUAGUGUAUGGAUGAAGGACUCAAAUCCUCACUCAAACAACACACAAAAACCCCUCACUUUACUCCUUACUAACUUUGUAACCAAUAGGUAACCUUUUUCAGACUCAGCUUCAUCAUCUGUAAAAUUAGAAAAACAAUGGGUCCUUUCUUAAUGUAGUGCAACAUCAGACAGAAGGAGUGUGUGGGACUCCAGGUAAGAUGCGGUGACAGGGACUGAGUUUACUCUCUAGCCAUAGGCAGUUGUUAAUAGAAAACCCUCAUAGGACUGUUGUGAGAACAAAAGAGUAUUAAACACUUGAAAUAGGGCAUAGCAUAAAGUAAGCUCGCCAUACAAUUUUGCUUUUUUAUAAUUAAAUAUAGAUAUGGUAAAAAAUUGGGGAAUGAAGCUAUAAAGUGCUGCUUUAAGGGUAAAUUAACAGUAUUAAGUGUGUAUAUUAUAAAAAGCAGUCCUCAAAUCAUUACUCUUAAGCGUCUGUUUAAAGAAACUAAAGAAUAACAGUAAUGCCAAAACAAAAAGAGGAGUAAAGGCAAAAGCAGAAACCAAAGAAAUAGAAAAGUACAAAAUAGAAUCAGAAAUUAAAACCUGGCUUUUUAAAAAGGUCGAUAAUAGUGAUAAAAUUCUAGCCAGUUCAGUUCAGUCACUCAGUUGGGUCCAGCUCUUUGCGACCCCAUGGACUGCAGCACGCCAGGUGUCCCUGUUCAUCAUCAGCUCCCGGGGUUGACGCAAACUCGUGUCCAUUGAGUCGGUUAUGCCAUCCAACCAUCUCAUCCUCUGUCAUCNNNNNNNNNNNNNNNNNNNNNNNNNNNNNNNNNNNNNNNNNNNNNNNNNNNNNNNNNNNNNNNNNNNNNNNNNNNNNNNNNNNNNNNNNNNNNNNNNNNGUACAUGGUUUCUUAAUGCUCUGUAAACAUUUCUAACCAUUCAACUGUUCUUGUUGAGAUCCCCAACUUGUGGGUGCACAAGGCGUCUCAGAGACCCCGGCUCCAUUAGAUAAGAUACCACUUUCAAAAUAAUGAAAUGGUUCUUGAAUUUGUUCUAAGCCCCCAAGUUUUGGUUAAUUUGGUUUUAAAAAGGUAAUUGAAACAUACAUUCAGGAGAUAGUUCAGUUCAGUCUCUCAGUCGUGUCUGACUCUUUGCGACCACAUGGACUGCAGCACGCUAGGCUUCCCUCUCUAUCACCAACUCCCAGAGUUUACUCAAAC
ensembl:lncRNA